rnacentral:rRNA from 2 species
GCACCUGAUUGAUUUUGGUCGCCAACGAGUGGCGGACGGGUGAGUAACACGUAGGUAACCUGCCCAGAAGCGGGGGACAACAUUUGGAAACAGAUGCUAAUACCGCAUAACAACGUUGUUCGCAUGAACAACGCUUAAAAGAUGGCUUCUCGCUAUCACUUCUGGAUGGACCUGCGGUGCAUUAGCUUGUUGGUGGGGUAACGGCCUACCAAGGCGAUGAUGCAUAGCCGAGUUGAGAGACUGAUCGGCCACAAUGGGACUGAGACACGGCCCAUACUCCUACGGGAGGCAGCAGUAGGGAAUCUUCCACAAUGGGCGCAAGCCUGAUGGAGCAACACCGCGUGAGUGAAGAAGGGUUUCGGCUCGUAAAGCUCUGUUGUUAAAGAAGAACACGUAUGAGAUUAACUGUUCAUACGUUGACGGUAUUUAACCAGAAAGUCACGGCUAACUACGUGCCAGCAGCCGCGGUAAUACGUAGGUGGCAAGCGUUAUCCGGAUUUAUUGGGCGUAAAGAGAGUGCAGGCGGUUUUCUAAGUCUGAUGUGAAAGCCUUCGGCUUAACCGGAGAAGUGCAUCGGAACCUGGAUAACUUGA